rnacentral:rRNA from 1 species
UACGGAGGGUGCAAGCGUUAAUCGGAAUUACUGGGCGUAAAGCGUGCGCAGGCGGUUUGUUAAGUCUGCUGUGAAAUCCCCGAGCUCAACUUGGGAAUUGCAGUGGAUACUGGCAGGCUGGAGUAUGGUAGAGGAAGGUGGAAUUCCCGGUGUAGCAGUGAAAUGCGUAGAGAUCGGGAGGAACACCAGUGGCGAAGGCGGCCUUGUGGACCAAUACUGACGCUCAUGCACGAAAGCGUGGGGAGCAAACAGG